rnacentral:rRNA from 1 species
GUGUCAGCAGCCGCGGUAAUACGGAGGGUGCAAGCGUUAUCCGGAUUCACUGGGUUUAAAGGGUGCGUAGGCGGGCAGGUAAGUCAGUGGUGAAAUCUCAGAGCUUAACUCUGAAACUGCCGUUGAUACUAUCUGUCUUGAAUAUUGUGGAGGUAAGCGGAAUAUGUCAUGUAGCGGUGAAAUGCUUAGAUAUGACAUAGAACACCUAUUGCGAAGGCAGCUUACUACGCAAUCAUUGACGCUGAGGCACGAAAGCGUGAGGAUCAAACAGGAUUAGAUACCCUGGUAGUCC